rnacentral:lncRNA from 1 species
CUCUUGUCAAGCCUUAAAUUUCUGACAGCUUACUUGUGAUCUCAAGACUGUUCAACUUUCUCUUCUCAGAACUGACUGAAUUCCUGGAAAGACAAAUUUUGGUUUCACUUUUGUGUUCUGGGAAAUACAGUUGAUUCAGAAAUGGGACUUUCCCAACUUCCUCCAUGAUUGGUCAGCAUCACACAGAAAGGUGGGAGAGAAGCCAAGUGAGUAUAUAAGCCCUGUUCAGCCACCUUGUGUGUGUUACUUUGCACAGACAGAGAAGAGGUAGAUUUCAGAAGAAGAGCCUAUCAGAGCUACAAAGCCUUAAACAAUAGUAAGCCAUCAACCAGACACAGGAUUUUCUACUAAUCCAGCAAGGCUAUUCAGGUGACUUCCGACCCAAAAGAUUUCUUUUCUCUAAGAAAAUUUUGGUUACCAAAACAUUUAGGAGCACGGACUGGAGGGAUGAGAUGCUCAACUUGGAAGCUAAGGAGCCUUGAUGGAAGGGAGGUAGGAUGGGCUAAUGAACAGUCAUAGUUAAUCACUGAAGUUCAGGCAAAUUUAAAGCAAAUGUUUUGGAUAUUUUUUACUUGGUGAAAUGUUUUUUUCAUUAGUCUUGUUCUGUCUCUAGCACCUCCCUCUAGAAUGGUUGAAAAUGUAUGUGUCAGAAUAUAUUAGGGAAUAUCACCACAGAAUAUGUGAGGUUGGUUCUGUCUCAGUUCUUUUAUUCCCUGUUCUUAUAUUAUUAACUCUAAUUCAGCACUUUUUAUUCCUUCCUUUGCAGCAUAAGCUAGACUUGGAGCAGGGGCAACUCUGCAUGCCACCUCUGCUAUAACUAACUGUAGAACAUUUAUGACUGGUGAGUCUUUCAUUUUUAAAAUGUAGAGUAGGAAUGCUAAUGAUCUCUUGUGAAGAAAAGUCAGGCAAGUCAGGAAAAAAUGGUAAAAUAAUGUCAUUGAGACAUGUAUCCUUUAAAAUGAUUGAUAGUGCAAAUCCUUGUCCCUUGUGUUCAUAGUGGACAAGACAUUUAAAGCAGACUAUGGAGUGUCAUUGAAACAGGGAAUUGGUAG